AACGCGUUAAAGACUCUAUAGAGAUUUCUAAGCAAAUGUUCAAAUCUCACCCAAAGGCGUCCUAAUGGGGUGGAAGAGAGGCUCAGCCCGUCGACUGAUCUCAGGAGUAAGGAGGUCCUCGAGAUGGUGUAUUCCCUCGGGAUGGCAUCUCCCCUGACGGUGGUAUCUUCCCUAAUGAUGGUAUCUUCCCUGACAUCCCCUCUCUUAGGCUAAUUUAUAUUAUUUUCUAACUUUUA